GACGAACCGUGCGAACGUUGUUCGGAAUCACUGGGUUUAAAGGGUGCGUAGGCGGUUUUUUAAGUCAGUGGUGAAAUACGGCAGCUCAACUGUCGAGGUGCCAUUGAUACUGGGAAACUUGAGUACUGAUGAGGUAGGCGGAAUGGACGGUGUAGCGGUGAAAUGCUUAGAUAUCGUCCAGAACACCGAUAGCGAAGGCAGCUUACUAAGGAGUAACUGACGCUGAGGCACGAAAGUGUGGGGAUCAAACAGG
rnacentral:rRNA from 1 species